rnacentral:piRNA from 4 species
GACCUGCUUCUGGGUCGGGGUUUC